CAUCCUCCAAGGCUAAAUACUCCUGACUGACCGAUAGUGAACCAGUACCGUGAGGGAAAGGCGAAAAGAACCCCGGCGAGGGGAGUGAAAAAGAACCUGAAACCGUGUACGUACAAGCAGUGGGAGCCCCACCACUAAGCCAGUGGUGAACUCCACAUACGCAUCUUUUGCUGAGGAUACGGUUAACGGAGCGCAAGCGACGUUCAACCUCAAAAGAAGCAGAGGGGGCUUAGUGGUGGGGUGACUGCGUACCUUUUGUAUAAUGGGUCAGCGACUUAUAUUCUGUAGCAAGGUUAACCGUAUAGGGGAGCCGGAGGGAAACCGAGUCUUAAUUGGGCGUUAAGUUGCAGGGUAUAGACCCGAAACC
rnacentral:rRNA from 1 species